rnacentral:rRNA from 1 species
GACGAACGCUGGCGGCGUGCUUAACACAUGCAAGUCGAACGGUAAGGCCCUUCGGGGUACACGAGUGGCGAACGGGUGAGUAACACGUGGGUGAUCUGCCCUGCACUUCGGGACGAGCCUGGGAAACUGGGUCUAAUACCGGGUAGGACCACUGCCUGCAUGGGUGGUGGUGGAAAGCUUUUGCGGUGUGGGAUGGGCCCGCGGCCUAUCAGCUUGUUGGUGGGGUGAUGGCCUACCAAGGCGACGACGGGUAGCCGGCCUGAGAGGGUGGCCGGCCAGGCUGGGACUGAGGUACGGCCCAGAGUCCUACGGGAGGCAGCAGUGGGGAAUAUUGCACAAUGGGCGCAAGCCUGAUGCAGGGACGCCGCGUGAGGGAUGACGGCCUUCGGGUUGUAAACCUCUUUCAGCACCGACGAAGCGCAAGUGACGGUAGGUGCAGAAGAAGGACCGGCCAACUACGUGCCAGCCGCCGCAGUAA